GGGUUGUGAGGUUAAGUGACUAAGCGUACACGGUGGAUGCCUAGGCAGUCAGAGGCGAUGAAGGGCGUGCUAAUCUGCGAAAAGCGUCGGUAAGGUGAUAUGAACCGUUACAACCGGCGAUACCCGAAUGGGGAAACCCAGUGUGUUUCGACACACUAUCAUGUCAUGAAUACAUAGUGGCAUGAGGCGAACCGGGGGAACUGAAACAUCUAAGUACCCCGAGGAAAAGAAAUCAACCGAGAUUCCCCCAGUAGCGGCGAGCGAACGGGGAGGAGCCCAGAACCUGAAUCGGCUUGUGUGUUAGUGGAAGCGUCUGGAAAGUCGCGCAGCAAAGGGUGAUAGCCCCGUACACUAAAAUGCACAGGUCGUGAGUUCGAUGAGUAGGGCGGGACACGUGACAUCCUGUCUGAAUAUGGGGGGACCAUCCUCCAAGGCUAAAUACUCCUGACUGACCGAUAGUGAACCAGUACCGUGAGGGAAAGGCGAAAAGAACCCCGGCGAGGGGAGUGAAAUAGAACCUGAAACCGUGUACGUACAAGCAGUGGGAGCACCUUCGUGGUGUGACUGCGUACCUUUUGUAUAAUGGGUCAGCGACUUAUAUUUUGUAGCAAGGUUAACCGUAUAGGGGAGCCGUAGGGAAACCGAGUCUUAACUGGGCGAUUAGUUGCAAGGUAUAGACCCGAAACCCGGUGAUCUAGCCAUGGGCAGGUUGAAGGUUGGGUAACACUAACUGGAGGACCGAACCGACUAAUGUUGAAAAAUUAGCGGAUGACUUGUGGCUGGGGGUGAAAGGCCAAUCAAACCGGGAGAUAGCUGGUUCUCCCCGAAAGCUAUUUAGGUAGCGCCUCGUGAACUCAUCUUCGGGGGUAGAGCACUGUUUCGGCUAGGGGGCCAUCCCGGCUUACCAAACCGAUGCAAACUCCGAAUACCGAAGAAUGUUAUCACGGGAGACACACGGCGGGUGCUAACGUCCGUCGUGAAGAGGGAAACAACCCAGACCGCCAGCUAAGGUCCCAAAGUCAUGGUUAAGUGGGAAACGAUGUGGGAAGGCACAGACAGCCAGGAUGUUGGCUUAGAAGCAGCCAUCAUUUAAAGAAAGCGUAAUAGCUCACUGGUCGAGUCGGCCUGCGCGGAAGAUGUAACGGGGCUAAACCAUGCACCGAAGCUGCGGCAGCGACGCUUAGGCGUUGUUGGGUAGGGGAGCGUUCUGUAAGCCGUUGAAGGUGGCCUGUGAGGGUUGCUGGAGGUAUCAGAAGUGCGAAUGCUGACAUAAGUAACGAUAAAGCGGGUGAAAAGCCCGCUCGCCGGAAGACCAAGGGUUCCUGUCCAACGUUAAUCGGGGCAGGGUGAGUCGACCCCUAAGGCGAGGCUGAAAAGCGUAGUCGAUGGGAAACAGGUUAAUAUUCCUGUACUUGGUGUUACUGCGAAGGGGGGACGGAGAAGGCUAGGCUGGCCGGGCGACGGUUGUCCCGGUUUAAGCGUGUAGGGGGUGUGACCUGGUAAAUCCGGUUGCAUACUAACCCUGAGGCGUGAUGACGAUGCACUACGGUGCAGAAGUAGUUGAUGCCCUGCUUCCAGGAAAAUCCUCUAAGCUCCAGGUAACAUUAAAUCGUACCCCAAACCGACACAGGUGGUCAGGUAGAGAAUACCAAGGCGCUUGAGAGAACUCGGGUGAAGGAACUAGGCAAAAUGGUGCCGUAACUUCGGGAGAAGGCACGCUGGCAUGUAGGUGAAGUCCCU
rnacentral:rRNA from 2 species